AGCGAACGCUGGCGGCAGGCUUAACACAUGCAAGUCGAACGCCCCGCAAGGGGAGUGGCAGACGGGCGAGUAACACGUGGGAACGUACCCUUUGGUUCGGAAUAACUUGGGGAAACUCAAGCUAAUACCGGAUAAGCCCUUAUGGGGAAAGGUUUACUGCCGAAGGAUCGGCCCGCGUCUGAUUAGCUAGUUGGUGAGGUAAUGGCUCACCAAGGCGACGAUCAGUAGCUGGUCUGAGAGGAUGAUCAGCCACACUGGGGCUGACACACGGCCCCGACUCCUUCGGGCGGCAGCAAUGGGGAAUAUUGCACAAUGAGGACGACCCUGAUCCAGCCAUGCCGCGUGAGUGAUGAAGGCCUUAGGGUUGUAAAGCUCUUUUACCCGGGACGAUAAUGACUGUACCGGGAGAAUAAGCCCCGGCUAACUUCGUGCCAGCCGCCGCGGUAA
rnacentral:rRNA from 1 species